GGGAGUAACACGUGGGUAACCUGCCCACUCAGAAGGGGAUAACACUUGGAAACAGGUGCUAAUACCGUAUAACAAUCGAAACCGCAUGGUUUCGGUUUGAAAGGCGCUUUUGCGUCACUGAUGGAUGGACCCGCGGUGCAUUAGCUAGUUGGUGAGGUAACGGCUCACCAAGGCAACGAUGCAUAGCCGACCUGAGAGGGUGAUCGGCCACAUUGGGACUGAGACACGGCCCAA
rnacentral:rRNA from 1 species